GGUAACGAAGCUAACGCGUGAAGUUGACCGCCUGGGGAGUACGGCCGCAAGGUUAAAACUCAAAGGAAUUGACGGGGACCCGCACAAGCGGUGGAUUAUGUGGAUUAAUUCGAUGCAACGCGAAAAACCUUACCUACCCUUGACAUGCUAGGAAGUCCGCAGAGAUGUGGACGUGCCCGAAAGGGAACCUAGACACAGGUGCUGCAUGGCUGUCGUCAGCUCGUGUCGUGAGAUGUUGGGUUAAGUCCCGCAACGAGCGCAACCCUUGCCAUUAGUUGCGACAUUUAGUUGAGCACUCUAAUGGGACCGCCGGUGACAAACCGGAGGAAGGUGGGGAUGACGUCAAGUCCUCAUGGCCCUUAUGGGUAGGGCUUCACACGUAAUACAAUGGUCGGUACAGAGGGUUGCCAACCCGCGAGGGGGAGCCAAUCCCAGAAAGCCGAUCGUAGUCAGGAUUGUAGUCUGCAACUCGACUGCAUGAAGCCGGAAUCGCUAGUAAUCGCGGAUCAGCAUGUCGCGGUGAAUACGUUCCCGGGUCUUGUACACACCGCCCGUCACACCAUGGGAGUGGGUUCCACCAGAAGUAGGUAGCCUAACCGCAAGGGGGGCGCUUACCACGGUGAGAUUCAUGACUGGGGUGAAGUCGUAACAAGGUAACC
rnacentral:rRNA from 1 species